UACGUAGGGGGCAAGCGUUGUCCGGAAUUAUUGGGCGUAAAGAGCGUGUAGGCGGUCCGGUAAGUCAGCUGUGAAAGUCAAGGGCUCAACCCUUGAAUGCCGGUUGAUACUGUCGGGCUAGAGUCCGGAAGAGGCGAGUGGAAUUCCCGGUGUAGCGGUGAAAUGCGCAGAUAUCAGGAAGAACACCCGUGGCGAAGGCGGUUCUCUGGGACGGUACUGACGCUGAGACGCGAAAGCGUGGGGAGCGAACAGG
rnacentral:rRNA from 1 species